rnacentral:rRNA from 1 species
UGAGCAAUCUGCCCUUCUCUUUGGAAUAAGCGUUGGAAACGACGUCUAAUGCCGAAUACGACCUCCUUUCGCAUGAUCGAAGGUGGAAAGCUCCGGCGGAGAAGGAUGAGCUCGCGGCCUAUCAGCUAGUUGGUGUGGGUAAUGGCCCACCAAGGCGACGACGGGUAGCCGGCCUGAGAGGGUGACCCGGCCACACUGGGACUGAGACACGGCCCAGACCUCCGUACGGGAGG